rnacentral:rRNA from 1 species
UACAGGGGGGGCAAGCGUUGUUCGGAAUUACUGGGCGUAAAGGGUUCGUAGGUGGCCAACUAAGUCAUACGUGAAAUCCCUCAGCUUAACUGGGGAACUGCGUUCGAUACUGGUUGGCUUGAAUCCGGGAGAGGGAUGUGGAAUUCCAGGUGUAGCGGUGAAAUGCGUAGAUAUCUGGAGGAACACCGGUGGCGAAGGCGACAUCCUGGACCGGUAUUGACGCUGAGGCGCGAAAGCCAGGGGAGCAAACGGG